rnacentral:rRNA from 1 species
AAUGAACGCUGGCGGCGUGCCUAAUACAUGCAAGUCGAGCGAACGGACGAGAAGCUUGCUUCUCUGAUGUUAGCGGCGGACGGGUGAGUAACACGUGGAUAACCUACCUAUAAGACUGGGAUAACUUCGGGAAACCGGAGCUAACACCGGAUAAUAUUUUGAACCGCAUGGUUCAAAAGUGAAAGACGGUCUUGCUGUCACUUAUAGAUGGAUCCGCGCUGCAUUAGCUAGUUGGUAAGGUAACGGCUUACCAAGGCAACGAUGCAUAGCCGACCUGAGAGGGUGAUAGGCCACACUGGAACUGAGACACGGUCCAGACGCCUACGGGAGGCAGCAGUAGGGAAUCUUCCGCAAUGGGCGAAAGCCUGACGGAGCAACGCCGCGUGAGUGAUGAAGGUCUUCGGAUCGUAAAACUCUGUUAUUAGGGAAGAACAUAUGUGUAAGUAACUGUGCACAUCUUGACGGUACCUAAUCAGAAAGCCACGGCUAACUACGUG